rnacentral:rRNA from 1 species
CAAAAGUGAAAGACGGUCUUGCUGUCACUUAUAGAUGGAUCCGCGCUGCAUUAGCUAGUUGGUAAGGUAACGGCUUACCAAGGCAACGAUGCAUAGCCGACCUGAGAGGGUGAUCGGCCACACUGGAACUGAGACACGGUCCAGACUCCUACGGGAGGCAGCAGUAGGGAAUCUUCCGCAAUGGGCGAAAGCCUGACGGAGCAACGCCGCGUGAGUGAUGAAGGUCUUCGGAUCGUAAAACUCUGUUAUUAGGGAAGAACAUAUGUGUAAGUAACUGUGCACAUCUUGACGGUACCUAAUCAGAAAGCCACGGCUAACUACGUGCCAGCAGCCGCGGUAAUACGUAGGUGGCAAGCGUUAUCCGGAAUUAUUGGGCGUAAAGCGCGCGUAGGCGGUUUUUUAAGUCUGAUGUGAAAGCCCACGGCUCAACCGUGGAGGGUCAUUGGAAACUGGAAAACUUGAGUGCAGAAGAGGAAAGUGGAAUUCCAUGUGUAGCGGUGAAAUGCGCAGAGAUAUGGAGGAACACCAGUGGCGAAGGCGACUUUCUGGUCUGUAACUGACGCUGAUGUGCGAAAGCGUGGGGAUCAAACAGGAUUAGAUACCCUGGUAGUCCACGCCGUAAACGAUGAGUGCUAAGUGUUAGGGGGUUUCCGCCCCUUAGUGCUGCAGCUAACGCAUUAAGCACUCCGCCUGGGGAGUACGACCGCAAGGUUGAAACUCAAAGGAAUUGACGGGGACCCGCACAAGCGGUGGAGCAUGUGGUUUAAUUCGAAGCAACGCGAAGAACCUUACCAAAUCUUGACAUCCUUUGACAACUCUAGAGAUAGAGCUUUCCCCUUCGGGGGACAAAGUGACAGGUGGUGCAUGGUUGUCGUCAGCUCGUGUCGUGAGAUGUUGGGUUAAGUCCCGCAACGAGCGCAACCCUUAAGCUUAGUUGCCAUCAUUAAGUUGGGCACUCUAAGUUGACUGCCGGUGACAAACCGGAGGAAGGUGGGGAUGACGUCAAAUCAUCAUGCCCCUUAUGAUUUGGGCUACACACGUGCUACAAUGGACAAUACAAAGGGCAGCGAAACCGCGAGGUCAAGCAAAUCCCAUAAAGUUGUUCUCAGUUCGGAUUGUAGUCUGCAACUCGACUACAUGAAGCUGGAAUCGCUAGUAAUCGUAGAUCAGCAUGCUACGGUGAAUACGUUCCCGGGUCUUGUACACACCGCCCGUCACACCACGAGAGUUUGUAACACCCGAAGCCGGUGGAGUAACCUUUUAGGAGCUAGCUGUCGAAGGUGGGACAAAUGAUUGGGGUGAAGUCGUAACAAGGUAGCCGUAUCGGAAGGUGCGGCUGGAUCACCU